UUGGAAGUACCAGUAAACACCAGACAACUCAAGCAAACGGCAUUGAAAUAACAGAUGAAUCGGAUAAUAAGGGAUGUUUUCAGAAUAAGUCUGUUACAACAAUGAUGGCAUUGAUGAUUAUAGCAGUCGUAGGAGUAGCUGUACUGGAUACCGUUCUCGGUUACCAUUUCUACAAACUUAGGAAACAGUUAAUGGGAGGAUCUCAUAUGGCUUUGACGACCAGUGGAGUUGCUCCUGUAUCCACGAUGAUAAAGAAAUAAAUGUGUGAAUUAGUACUAUUUGACAUUUUCGUUUAUUCAUUCACUCAUUUGACAUCAUGUAACAUAAUUUAUUUUUAUUUUUUCGAAUACUAGUAGCCUUCAUAUGAUUUUUUUUUAAAACAGCAAAAUCUUUUUCCCUUUCCUGUUGUUAAAUUUCCUUUCCUUGAUAGUUUUAUCCCUUGAAGCUUCUGUAAACAUUUUCCGCAGUUGUUUCAGGAUUCAAUAGCUUACAGAAGCUUAGGUGCAGUAAUCGAAAUAUUUUAUUUUAAUAACAAGUGUGGACACGGAUCAGUGUGGAUAGUAAUUUUUAAAUUUGUGUUAGUAUGUUUGACAGUGUUAUCGUCACCGAGUUAAUGUAUUGGUUGUGCCCCCACCUUAUGUUUUGAGCUAUUUCUUUAUCUUUCACAUAUGGUUAUAUGUUAAACUGUGUUCCACGGUGACGGUUAUCUUUGCAUUUUGAGAUAAGAAGCAAAAGCUCAAAAUUAGCAUUGUGCAGGGUUAGACAUUAGUUGUUUU